rnacentral:tRNA from 1 species
AAGUUCUUAGUGUAGUGGUAACACGUCAGAUUCCAAACCUGAAAUCGUGGGUUCGAUUCCUACAUGACUUGCCA